rnacentral:rRNA from 1 species
GUUUGUUCUUGUAGAUAUUGGCAGCUUUCUGGUCUACCCUACUGCCAUGCAAUAAGCUGCAUCUACAAGAGCUCACAAUUGUUGGAUUCAUACAUAGCCGAGUGUUAUUCCAUUGAGGCUUACAAGAAAAUUUACUCUCAUGUGUUGGAGCCAUUGGAAGGUCAGUCAAAUUGGCCGGUUGCUGAUCAUGUGAGGCCACAAGCACCUGGUUACAUCAAAAUGCCAGGAAGGCCAAGGAAAGAAAGGAAAAGAGAAGAAGGAGAAGCACCAAAAGGGAUAAAAAUGAGCAAGGUGGGUGGCCAAAUCACUUGCAGUUCAUGCAAUAGGACAGGCCAUAACAUGAAAAGUUGCACAAAUAAUGCUGCUGCAACUAAGCAUCAUGGAAACACACAUAUUGUCAGAGAAAGGUCUAGGAAAAGGAAACUACAGAUAGAAGCCUAUGAGGCAGAAACUUCAAAGAAAUCAAAGGUAAUGUGCUGA